UUACCGCGCCGCUGUAAAUCAUCGAUCGACCAGGGUCUCGUGUAGGCGCGUGAGUCAGGUGUAGCAAGUAAACAUAGGGUGCCGCCGACCCUCAUUGUGUGGACCGGUGGCGCGAACAUUCGCGGCACGUCCUAUGUUCGACGUUUUGUUUUGGAGCACCAUCCGGUUCCUAGUGGUGGGGGAGAGGGGACAGGUGGGCGCAGGUAACGCGAUCGACCUGAGCCAGUCCAUCUCGGUGUGUCGGGCUGCGCGAGCGCCUCGCCCGUAAUAAAUACUAACUAGUAUGGAAAUGGCUAGUCAUUCCGCGACAGGUGCGCGCCCGCGGCGUUCGUGCACGUGUGCUGUUAGUGAGUGCGCAGCCGCUGCCUCCCGCACCAGCAUGGCCAAAGGAACAAAAAUUUCGAAGAGGAUGAAAACUGAAAAUUACUUCAAUAAAUUACUUCGUGGAUUGAACAGUUUGUUGGUGAUGAACUAGGUAAGUAUAUACCAAAAUUAUUAUACAUUUUAACUAUUUUUAGCUAAAAUGGAUUUAUUAUGAUGAUAUGGAGAGGGAAAGAGGUCUACCAAAGAAGGCAUGGAAGGAGUGUGUGAAUGACGAUAUGAGAGAGAGAGAGGAGUGAGUGUUGAGGUCACGGCUGAUAGAAGAGAAUGGAAGAGAAAAAUGAGCUGUGCCGACCUCUAGUGAGAUAAGGUGAAGAAAAAGAAGAAGAACUAUUUUUAGCUACUACUUUGAAUUUGAUCAUAGUCUUUCAAAUAUGAAGGUAGAUAGGAUGAGUCAAUUUAUAGCUUUAUGCAUAAAAUCACAGAUAUAGCAUUGCUUCUUACUCAGCUUUUUUAUGAUCCGCAGAAAUAUGUAAUAUUGAAAAGUAAAGUUAAUAUUUUAAAGUAACAA